rnacentral:rRNA from 1 species
GAUGAACGCUGGCGGCGUGCCUAAUACAUGCAAGUCGAGCGAACGGACGAGAAGCUUGCUUCUCUGAUGUUAGCGGCGGACGGGUGAGUAACACGUGGAUAGCCUACCUAUAAGACUGGGAUAACUUCGGGAAACCGUAGCUAAUACCGGAUAAUAUUUUGAACCGCAUGGUUCAAAAGUGAAAGACGGUCUUGCUGUCACUUAUAGAUGGAUCCGCGCUGCAUUAGCUAGUUGGUAAGGUAACGGCUUACCAAGGCAACGAUGCAUAGCCGACCUGAGAGGGGGAUCGGCCACACUGGAACUGAGCCACGGUCCAGGCUCCUACGGGAGGCAGCAGUAGGGAAUCUUCCGCAAUGGGCGAAAGCCUGACGGAGCAACGCCGCGUGAGUGAUGAAGGUCUUCGGAUCGUAAAACUCUGUUAUUGGGGAAGAACAUAUGUGUAAGUAACUGUGCACAUCUUGACGGUACCGAAGCAGAAAGCCACGGCUAACUACGU